rnacentral:rRNA from 1 species
UACAGAGGGGGCAAGCGUUAUUCGGAAUUAUUGGGCGUAAAGGGCGCGUAGGCGGCCAUUCAAGUGACGGGUGAAAGCCCUCGGCUUAACCGAGGAACUGCCUGUCAGACUGGAUGGCUUGAGACCGGGAGAGGUGAGUGGAAUUCCCAGUGUAGCGGUGAAAUGCGUAGAUAUUGGGAGGAACACCAGUGGCGAAGGCGGCGACCUGGUCCAUUACUGACGCUGAGGCGCGACAGCGUGGGGAGCAAACAGG